UUUUUAAGUAACCGCCUUGAACCUUCAGAAAACACCACGAAGGGAGAGGUACGAUGCAAAUCCAAGUAACUCCUGGAAAGAAAGCUGCACGGCCUGAGGCUAGCUGGAUUCUUGGGGGAAUCCACCAAGGUCACUCACGGCUGAAUUCUUACUUCCAGAAUCCGAGAGACACACGCAGAGCUUCGGCGGGGCGACCUCACGGACCCACACCCCCAAACCCCACGUAUCCGAGGGAACAAUCAAUGUCCACGUGGAAGAACCAACCAACCAAAAGAGCAAUGCACGUGCCGGGGGGGUUGGGGCUCCAAAGAAAUGUGCCGAGCACACGCAGGAGCUUGCACGAGCUCAGCUGACCGAGGGGAGGCUCGGACGGACGGAGAAAUACCCACAGCGCCGGACGGACGGGAGAUCGCACCGUGGUGCUGACACCAAACCUGGGCAACCUCCUCUCCGGGAAAACAAAUCCCAGGAAACCGCUGACAACUGGCGACAAUCCAUUACAGAAACUGAAAUGGGAUCCCACACAAACGCCGGAAAAGCGCUGCCCUGUGGCGCCCACCCGGGGCGGAGCUCGGCCCCGACGCUCGGGGCGCCCCACGUCGCGCGCGACCGGAAGAGGCCCGUGGCCCCGCCCCUCUCUGCGUCGUGGGCGGGGCGUCGCCGGCCGGGAGCCGCAGUCUCGCGAUAGCGCAAUUUCCCGCGUGCGGCUGCGCGGUGAUGGCCGCCUGGGUUCCUCCGCGGCCGCGGGCCGGCGGUCGGUGGAGCUCGCCCUGGAUGGUCGCCUGCCCUGGAGGCUCCGGUGAGCCGCUUCCGGCGCUCCAGGUUCCCCCGGAAGAGGGGACGUUUCCUGAGCUUCAUUCACCGUAACCCGCCGCCGGCCUCUCCUACCUCCACGGUGGAGGGGGUGUUCGUGGUCCCUCCAGCCCUGCCUCCCGCUGCCCCUGUGCCGGGGCCUGCAGGGACACCACCGUGGAAAUGUCACCUCCCCCCACGUCUCCGACUCUUCCCUUACCUGUCCGCUGCGGAGUCUCUCGUCUUCCGACGAAAAUCUCCACCAAGCACCAUCCCUCUCAGCACAGCACCUUCCAAAAUCUCGUCUUCUCACGAAAUAUUAGCAACAAUGAACAGGUCGUGAAGGAUAAAUACCUGCUCCAAAGACCAGAAGCCUCCAAGCAUCCCGGCCCUGCUCCAGCAUUUCUGCAGACCAUUCAGCCCUCACCUCCAGACAAAAGCAAGAAGGUUUCACAGAAGAAAGAGGGUGAAUCAUCCAGAGAACCUGCUUCUAGUAAGGUCAAAAUGCUAAGUAGAAGUGUCUCCCUCGGCACCUACACUGCACAAGGGAAGGCACUAACAAAAUAAAGGAUUAAAGCAACCCAGGUUCCUUUCGAGACCACACACACUCGGGUCAUUUUUGACCAACGUGCCAUUAGAAAAAUCCCACCUCUUCCAGGAAGCNUAGGUUCCUUUCGAGACCACACACGGGUCAUUUUUGACCAACGUGCCAUUAGAAAAAUCCCACCUCUUCCAGGAAGCCUUCCAGGGUAAUUCAGAGAAGAGCCACAAGCUCGAUUUUGUUUUAUCCAGCUGGAGCACUUACAGGUAACCACACCCUUGCCCCAUCGCCUUUAUGGUUACUACACAUAGAGGCACUCCGUAACCACUUGAUGAAUAAAUGAAUGAAUUCUUAGGAAGUAUAUUUACCU
ensembl:lncRNA